AACAAAGGGCAAUAGUAGAGGAGACUCCUAAUGGAGAGUCUUCUCAUGAUGAAGAUCCUGCUGAGGCCACUGCUGUCUUUGCUUGCAAACGCGAUAGGUCUCAAUCCGUCGAAGAGAGUUUUGAAGAUGACGAACCUCUGGGAAUGCGAUUGGUUCGUCAAAGGACCACUGAUCCCUCUCGCCUGAGCGAGGCUGGAUCCUCAGCUGCUGCAGAAAAGCCAACUCUCUCGCUAGUUCAAGCAUCAACUAAUCUUGUGGCGCCUCUUCCGUCUCCCAAAUCUACAGAGCAUUUGCAAGGUCCUACCAUUCUAAUAACGAUCUUCGAUGACGACU